UCUGCGCAUGGCGUCGACGAACGCACGCAU
rnacentral:sRNA from 1 species